UUUCGACUGCACUUGAAGAAACUUUCAAAGUUCUUGAAAUGUUCCGGAUUGACUGAUCUUCAUGUCUUAAAGUAAUGUUGGACUGUCGUUUCUCUUUGCUUAUUUGAGAUGUUCUUGACGUAAUAUGGACUUGGUCUUUUACCAAAUAGGGCUAUCUUCUGUAUACCUCCCUACCUUGUCACAACACAUCUGAUUGGCUCAAACGCAUUAAGAAGGAAAGAAAUUACACAAAUUAACUUUUUAAGAAGGCACACCUGUUAUUUAAAAUGCAUUCCAGGUGACUGUGUCCAAACCUUUGGCUGAUACUGUAAGUAUUCACACCCAUGAGUCAAUACAGUAGAAGCACCUUUUAGCAGCAAUUACAGCUGUGAGUCUUUCUGGGUUAUUGUCCGGCUGAAAGGUGAAUUCAUCUCCCAGUGUCUGGUGGAAAGCAAACUGAACCAGGUUUUCCUCUAGGAUUGUUCCAGUGCUUAGAUGCAUUCUGUUUCUUCUUUAUCCUGAAAAACUCCCCAGUCCUUAACGAUUAGAAGCAUACCCAUAACAUGAUGCAGCCACCAAUAUGCUUGAAAAUAUUUAGUGGGACUCAGUAAUGUGUUUUAUUGGAUUUGCCCCAAACGUAACAUUUGGUAUUCAGGGCGAAAAGCGAAUUGCUUUGCCACAUUUUUUGCAGUAUUACAUUAGUGCCUUGUUGCAAACAAGUUACAUGUUUUGGAAUAUUUAUAUUCUGUACAAACCUCCUUCUUUUCACUCUGUUAUUUAGGUUAGUAUUGUGUAGUAACUACAAAGGUGUUGAUCCAGCUUUAGGAGAGAACUAUCAUAGCCAUUAAACUAUGUAACUGUUAUAAAGUCACCAUUGACAACUAUGUGUUUUAUCCAUCCUCAGUUGUCUUCAAUCACAACUCUGUGUCACAGCCCUUUGUCUCCUGUCUCCAAUGUUGCCACAUUUUUUGGCAGUAUUACUUAAGUGCAUUAUUGAAAACAGGAUGCAUCUUUUGGCAUAUUUUUAUUCUCUACAGGCUUCCUUCUUUUCACUCUGUCAUUUAGGUUAGUAUUGUGGAUGUCACGUUCUGACCAGUAUAAGG
rnacentral:lncRNA from 1 species